UACGUAGGGUGCUAGCGUUGUCCGGAUUAUUGGGCGUAAAGGGCUCGUAGGCGGCGUGUCGCGUCGGGAGUGAAAGCCCGCUGCUUAACGGCGGGUUGCUUCCGGUACGGGCAUCGCUGGAGUGCGGCAGGGAGACUGGAAGUUCCUGGUGUAGCGGUGGAAUGCGCAGAUACUCAGGAGGAACACCGGUGGCGAAGGCGGUCUCUGGCCGUUACUGACGCUGAGGAGCGAAAGCGUGGGAGCGAACAGG
rnacentral:rRNA from 1 species